rnacentral:rRNA from 1 species
AUCACUGCUAUUGGAAUUCGGCUAAGGCAUGCGAGUCGAGAGGGUUCGGCCCUCGGCGGACGGCUCAGUAACACGUGGAUAAUCUGCCCUUAGGCGGGGGAUAAUCUCGAGAAAUUGAGCAUAAUACCCCAUAGCUCUAGGAUGCUGGAAUGCUUCUAGAAUGAAAGCUCAGGCGCCUAAGGAUGAGUCUGCGGCCUAUCAGGUUGUAGUGAGUGUAACGGACUCACUAGCCGACGACGGGUACGGGUCCUGGAAGGGAGUGCCCGGAGAUGGACUCUGAGACACGAGUCCAGGCCCUACGGGGCGCAGCAGCUACGAAAACUUCACAAUGCGGGCAACCGCGAUGAGGGAAUUCCAAGUGCUAAUACUUUGUAUUAGCUGUUUACUUGCCUAAAAAGCAGGUAGAGUAAGGGCUGGGUAAGACUGGUGCCAGCCGCCGCGGUAAUACCAGCAGCUCAAGUGGUGAUCGUUUUUAUUGGGCCUAAAGCGUCCGUAGCCGGUCUGUUAAACCCUUGGGUAAAUCGGGCAGCUUAACUGUCCGAAUUCUGAGGAGACUGCCAGACUUGGGACCGGGAGAGGUUAGAGGUACUCUCAGGGUAGGGGUGAAAUCCUGUAAUCCUAAGAGGACCACCAGUGGCGAAGGCGUCUAACUAGAACGGGCCCGACGGUAAGGGACGAAGCCCUGGGUCACGAACCGGAUUAGAUACCCGGGUAGUCCAGGGUGUAAACGCUGCGGGCUUGGUGUUGGGGGUCCUACGAGGGCGUCCAGUGCCGGAGAGAAGUUGUUAAGCCCGCCGCCUGGGGAGUACGGCCGCAAGGUUGAAACUUAA